rnacentral:misc_RNA from 1 species
GAUGAAGAACGCAGCGAAAUGCGAUAAGUAGUGUGAAUUGCAGAAUUCAGUGAAUCAUCGAAUCUUUGAACGCACAUUGCGCCCCUUGGUAUUCCGAGGGGCAUGCCUGUUCGAGCGUCAUUAUAACCCUCAAGCUCAGCUUGGUGUUGGGGCCUGCUGCACUGGCAGCCCUUAAAAUCAGUGGCGGCGCCAUCUGGCUCUAAGCGUAGUAAUUCUUCUCGCUAUGGAGUCCUGGUGGAUGCUUGACAUCAACCCCCAAUUUUUCUAUGGUUGACCUCGGAUCAGGUAGGGAUACCCGCUGAACUUAAGCAUAUCAAUAAGCGGAGGA